AUUGAACGCUGGCGGCAGGCCUAACACAUGCAAGUCGAGCGAGCGGAGGACGGGGGAGUAAAGUAUGGGGGCUGCCCGAUAGAGGGGGAUAACAACUGGAAAAGGUAGCAAAUAACGCAUACUAUCGGAUAACCCAUAUGGGAUUAGCUAGUUGGGGAGGUAAUGGCUCACCUAGUCGACGAUCCCUCGCUGGUCUGAGAGGAUGAUCAACCACACUGGGACUGCGACACGGCCCGGACUCCUACGGAGGCAGCAGUGGGGAAUAUUGCACAAUGGGCGCAAGCCUGAUGCAGCCAUGCCGCGUGUAUGAAGAAGGCCCUAGGGUUGUAAAGUACUUUCAGUCGGGAGGCGUUACCGACAGAAGAAGCACCGGCUAACUCCGUGCCAGCAGCCGCGGUAAUAC
rnacentral:rRNA from 1 species